rnacentral:rRNA from 1 species
CCUACGGGAGGCAGCAGUGAGGAAUAUUGGUCAAUGGACGAGAGUCUGAACCAGCCAAGUAGCGUGAAGGAUGACUGCCCUAUGGGUUGUAAACUUCUUUUAUAUGGGAAUAAAACGUUCCACGUGUGGGAUUUUGUAUGUACUUUAUGAAUAAGGAUCGGCUAACUCCGUGCCAGCAGCCGCGGUAAUACGGAGGAUCCGAGCGUUAUCCGGAUUUAUUGGGUUUAAAGGGAGCGUAGAUGGGUUGUUAAGUCAGUUGGGAAAGUUUGCGGCUCAACCGUAAAAUUGCAAUUGAAACUGGCAGUCUUGAGUACAGUAGAGGUGGGCGGAAUUCGUGGUGUAGCGGUGAAAUGCUUAGAUAUCACGAAGAACUCCGAUUGCGAAGGCAGCUCACUGGACUGUAACUGACACUGAGGCUCGAAAGUGUGGGUAUCAAACAGGAUUAGAUACCCCUGUAGUC